UGUUCCCUAGCUCGUAGGACAGCAGAUUAAGUCCCUGAGCCGAUAAACUUUAUAAAGGAAUGUAGUUUGCUUGCUACUGAGCAGGCUCGGCAUGUACCGAGAAGCCUACGGCGAGCUGUUGCUUUCCGCCUUGAACCUCAGGGUUCAAGGGCUGACAUCCGCAUCCGCGACGCCGGGGAACAC
rnacentral:other from 1 species